rnacentral:sRNA from 1 species
UGUCUCUGAAGUCUGACGAGGAUGAGAACCUCCGGGGGCAAGAGGUUCGACUCGAGCGAAGCGAGAAAACGUUGCGUCAGCAACGGCCCGCAGGGCGAGCCACGCAGUGGCGAGUCAUCCUCUAUCACCGACCA